rnacentral:ncRNA from 1 species
UUUUUUACGCAUCAUAAACUACCUUUAUACAUUUUAUUGCUCCUGUUAGAACAGAAAUAGGUAUAACAAAGCGUAUUAUGUGGUUAAGGAAUUCCUAUUACGUGUUUCAUACAACAAAAAGUACUGUCAGACGGAAAUAAAAAAAACCGUUAUCUGGCAGUACCCUUUUUCAUGCGUUAAAGUACACCCCCUUUCCCAGACGACGAUUUAAUAACCGCCGUCUAUAUUUUU